ensembl:lncRNA
GAAGGUUCUGUAUCAACGUGGACUUGGAAUACUCUGACCUCUGACUGUUCGCACAAAUGUCCUUCAGUGAUUCCUGAAAUCUGGCCGAGGGGUUGCCCACACAAAGGACCAAAAGGCUCCAUCACUGUGUGACAGAUACUUCUCAGAAUCAUGACAUCAUCCUCAUGCCACCGACUGUGUCCCCUCAAAACACUUCCUGACUGCAAUUCCACAUUUUGAAACAAAUGGACCCACCUCUGCCUCUGUAAGCGUAAGCAUUUCCUACUGUGUAAGCGAAGAGAAUUGCCGGGGUGGGAAAAGGCCAAGACAAAGAGAUUCUGCUUUGGAGACAGACUCUAGCGGAGGCUGUUCAAGUGAAGAGAGGAUUGCGUUGUAGAGGAGAAGCCAGAAAGGUGGUAACAGAUACCACGCAGGCAGUAAGGAGAUAGAGGGCUAGAACCAGUCAGUAGUCUGAUAUCAGCUAGCAUAAGUUAACUAUGUUAAAUAACAAACUACACACACACACACACACACACACACACACACACACACACACACCCCGGUCAAGAAUCCUG